rnacentral:lncRNA from 1 species
UGCGACUCCUGACUCCAUCAAUGACGUGAUUACAGAAGGUUUUAUAGAUCUCUCUACUUUUUGGUGAAAAGACUUCCUGGCUGUGUGUCUUCUGAGAAAUGAAAAAAAAAAAAAAUCUCUCCACCUGAGAAGCCCUUUCAUUUAUAAUUGUUUCUUAGACUAGAAGAGAACGCGGACGAAUGUUUAGCUGUCGUUCACCAGUUUGCCCCCGUGGAUUAUCCAGUUUAAUCUCAGGAAAAAGAUCCCGCCCCCCUGAACAAGUAUUUACCUAUUUUACGAAGGAGACUAAGAUAUAUGCUUCUUCUCUUGUUCUGGGAGUGCUUAAGACCUUUUCUAUUCUUCAUGACAACAUACAAGACUUUUCAAGAAAAUAUUACUUGCAAUGUUGGCUCAUCUUUUCAUAGCAGGC